rnacentral:lncRNA from 12 species
AUUAUUUUUAUGGACAGGAUUUCUUGGCGUAGCCAGGGGCCGGAGGGUGUCCGGUUUGGGGACCACAUGAUUUCGUCUCUGCUUUUUGCAGAUAAUGUUGUCAUGUUGGCUUCAUCAGGCCAGGACCUUCAGCGUGCGCUGGGACGGUUUGCAGCCGAGUGUGAAGCGGCUGGGAUGAGAAUCAGCACCUCCAAGUCCGAGGCCAUGGUUAUCAGCCAGAAAAGGGUGCCAUGUCCCCUUCAGGUUGGUGAAGAGCUCCUGCCUCAAGUGGAGGAGUUCAAGUAUCUUGGGGUCUUGUUCACGAGUGAGGGAAGGAUGGAGCGGGAGAUUGACAGGCGGAUAGGUGCAGCUUCUGCAGUGAUGCGGUCGAUGUACCUGUCUGUCGUGGUAAAGAAGGAGCUGAGCUGCAAGACGAAGCUCUCGAUUUACUGGUCAAUCUACGUUCCUACUCUCACCUACGGUCAUGAGCUGUGGGUCAUGACCGAAAGGACAAGAUCCCGGAUACAGGUGGCCGAAAUGAGCUUUCUCAGUAGGGUGGCUGGGUGCUCCCUUAGAGAUAGGGUGAGGAGCUCGGCCGCUCGGGAAGAGCUCAGAAUAGAGCCGCUGCUCCUCCACAUCGAGAGGAGCCAGCUGAGGUGGCUCAGGAAUCUGUUCCAGAUGCCUCCUGGACGCCUUCCUGGGGAGGUGUUCCGGGCACGUCCCACUGGGAGGAGGCCCCGGGGAAGACCGAGAACACGCUGGAGGGACUAUGUCUCUCGGCUGGCCUAACAUGUACACAUUUUACUACUUAGACUUUUUCCAAACUAUAAUUCCUGACUAAAUGUAUAAUCAAGUGAAACAUUAUGAAGUUUCAUUCACAUCUAAAUGUUUUACUGUACUACUAGUAUCAGUGACCAUCAAAAUAAUGUUAAUAAUGCAGUUUAUCAUUUAGUUUAUUUGGACGUAACAUAAACAAUAUACACUUUGGAAAUGCUAGUUAUGUGAUGUUCAUUUAUAUAUUUCAACAUUACACAAUACCAGUCAAUACCAGUUUGCCAAAGCAGUAAUAU